rnacentral:rRNA from 1 species
CCUGGUUGAUUCUGCCAGUAGUCAUAUGCUUGUCUCAAAGAUUAAGCCAUGCAUGUCUAAGUAUAAACACGUUAUACUGUGAAACUGCGAAUGGCUCAUUAAAUCAGUUAUAGUUUAUUUGAUGGUUUUUGCUACAUGGAUAACUGUGGUAAUUCUAGAGCUAAUACAUGCGUACAAGCCCCGACUUCUGGAAGGGGUGUAUUUAUUAGAUAAAAAUCAACACUGUUGGUGAAUCAUGAUAACUUCUCGGAUCGCAUGGCCUCGUGCUGGCGAUACUUCAUUCAAAUAUCUGCCCUAUCAACUGUCGAUGGUAGGAUAGAGGCCUACCAUGGUUGCAACGGGUAACGGGGAAUAAGGGUUCGAUUCCGGAGAGGGAGCCUGAGAAACGGCUACCACAUCCAAGGAAGGCAGCAGGCGCGCAAAUUACCCAAUCCCGACACGGGGAGGUAGUGACAAUAUGUAACAAUAUACGGCUUUAUCGUCGUAUAAUUGGAAUGAGUACAAUUUAAAUCCCUUAACGAGGAACAAUUGGAGGGCAAGUCUGGUGCCAGCAGCCGCGGUAAUUCCAGCUCCAAUAGCGUAUAUUAAAGUUGUUGCAGUUAAAAAGCUCGUAGUUGGACCUUGGGCCUGGACGGGCGGUCCGCCUCACGGCGUGUACUGUCUUGCCGGGCCUUUCCUCUUGGUGAUCUGUUGUUUCGGCAGCAGGGAACCAGGACCUUUACUUUGAAAAAAUUAGAGUGUUCAAAGCAGGCUCGACGCCGGAAUAUAUUAGCAUGGAAUAAUAAAAUAGGA